UUUGAUCCUGGCUCAGAUUGAACGCUGGCGGCAUGCCUUACACAUGCAAGUCGAACGGCAGCGCGGGGCAACCUGGCGGCGAGUGGCGAACGGGUGAGUAAUAUAUCGGAACGUACCCUGGAGUGGGGGAUAACGUAGCGAAAGUUACGCUAAUACCGCAUACGAUCUAAGGAUGAAAGUGGGGGAUCGCAAGACCUCAUGCUCCUGGAGCGGCCGAUAUCUGAUUAGCUAGUUGGUGGGGUAAAGGCCUACCAAGGCAUCGAUCAGUAGCUGGUCUGAGAGGACGACCAGCCACACUGGAACUGAGACACGGUCCAGACUCCUACGGGAGGCAGCAGUGGGGAAUUUUGGACAAUGGGCGCAAGCCUGAUCCAGCAAUGCCGCGUGAGUGAAGAAGGCCUUCGGGUUGUAAAGCUCUUUUGUCAGGGAAGAAACGGCGUGUUCUAAUACAGCGGGCUAAUGACGGUACCUGAAGAAUA
rnacentral:rRNA from 5 species